CACGUAGGGGGCGAGCGUUGUCCGGAAUCAUUGGGCGUAAAGAGCUCGUAGGCGGCUCAGUAAGUCGGGUGUGAAACCCCCAGGCUCAACCUGGGGACGCCACCCGAUACUGCUGUGGCUAGAGUCCAGUAGGGGGAGUGUGGAAUUCCUGGUGUAGCGGUGAAAUGCGCAGAUAUCAGGAGGAACACCAAUGGCGAAGGCAGCUCGCUGGGACGUGACUGACGCUGAGACGCGAAAGCGUGGGGAGCAAACAGGG
rnacentral:rRNA from 1 species